rnacentral:sRNA from 1 species
AGCAGCCGCGGUAAUUCCAGCUCCAAUAGCGUAUAUUAAAGUUGUUGCAGUUAAAAAGCUCGUAGUUGAAUUUCGGGGUUCUACCGUUGGUCAGGCUAUAGUCUGUACUGGCGUGUGGAAUUUCUACCUUCUGGGGAACUAUCAUGUUAUUAAUUUAGCGUGGUAGGAAGCCAGAACCUUUACCUUGAAAAAAUUAGAGUGUUCAAAGCAGGCUUACGUCUGAAUACAUUAGCAUGGAAUAAUAAAAUAGGACGGUGGUCCUGUUUUGUUGGUUUCUGAAUCACCGUAAUGAUUAAUAGGGAUAGUUGGGGGCAUUAGUAUUUAAUUGUCAGAGGUGAAAUUCUUGGAUUUAUUGAAGACUAACUUCUGCGAAAGCAUUUGCCAAGGAUGUUUUCAUUAAUCAAGAACGAAAGUUAGGGGAUCGAAGACGAUCAGAUACCGUCGUAGUCUUAACCAUAAACUAUGCCGACUAGGAAUCGGACGAUGU